rnacentral:rRNA from 1 species
UACGAAGGUCCCAAGCGUUGUUCGGAAUCACUGGGCGUAAAGGGUGCGUAGGCGGCGCGGAAAGUCAGAUGUGAAAUCCCGGGGCUCAACCCCGGAACUGCAUCCGAUACUCCCGCGCUAGAGGACCGGAGAGGAGUCUGGAAUUCACGGUGUAGCAGUGAAAUGCGUAGAUAUCGUGAGGAACACUAACGGCGAAGGCAAGACUCUGGACGGUUCCUGACGCUGAGGCACGAAGGCCGGGGGAGCGAACAGG